UCCAACGACUGUCCAGAAUGAGGCCGA
rnacentral:piRNA from 1 species